CACUUUCCGCAAGAUAAAUGAUUCACAGCUCAUGUGUGUGUUAUCAUUUCGUAAUUUCCACAGUAUUUUGUCAUCUCUUCUAUGCCAUUUCUUAUAUGCUUCUCUAAAUUCUUACCACAAUUUAUAAAUCCCUCCUUAUUUCUGCCAUCAGCAGAAGAACAAGAGCUAUGUAGAGAGUAGAUCAAAUGAAGGUUGAUUUGGAGAUUCACAUGGAAUUUUCCCUCCAGAAACUUGCAGCGCUCAAAUUUAAUUUAAGCACUAAAUGAGGAAGACUACAAGUGGGACUUUUGUGAACAAAACGCCCUUCCUGAUGUUUUCGUCCUUCAGCUUAGAAGAAAUGGACUCAAAAAAUCUCAGUAAGCUAUUUUCUGCUUCUGUUUCUAAGAGAAGGCAUUAUCAUUGACAAAUUCAACUAUGACCCUUUGUUGGUGUCAAAUACUUAUCACAAGAUAGGUUGGGGACCUAUUCUAGCUCUAGACAUCUUGAGCAAAUCCUUUUACCAUUUCCAACCUUUGAGUAGGUCGAACUUUUUUCCAUGUUUACAUGGUGCUCUUCAUCAAAAGUAUAUGUAUUGACUCGGAUACUGAUAACUUCAGUCAGUCUGUGUCUUACUCUGAUCGACUGAUUAUUUUUCCAUUAGCAUCUUUUACUUUCAUGUACAAGUGUAUUUGAAUGUGUGGCUCAAAGUUUAAACAACCUUGUGAAGAAAGUGUUUACUGUAAAGUAACAACAACAACAUAACCAGUUUAA